CUCGAGCAAACCUAUCAGAUAUACCAUGCCACUGUACUGCAGAAUCGAGUGCCUUCCUUCGAUACGGCUCGGCAGCCUUCCAGUCCCUUCGUCUCCCGCGCCGGCGUUUCCCCUUCCAGAAAUCCAGCUGCGCACCCACCGUCGCGCAUGCCGUAGCAGCGUCGUCCACCCAGGCAGAAACCCUCUCUCCCUCUUUGCAUCGCCCAAGCAAGAAGCCAACAAUCCUUUCUGUCUUCUUUCCAUCACCCAAGCAAUCCUACUCGAUCUGACCUGCAAGCGUGAAGAAAAAGGGAUCCCCUUGAGGCCUUGAACAAAGCACGAUCUGCACUGCAACCAGGCCUGCAUGGACUGAAGAUUGGAGAUAAGCAGACAGUAAAAGCUUCUUCCAUCAGUCCAUCACCUUAUUUUAUCAGUUUUUUACUCUCGAGAGCCAGAAGUCCAGAACCGAAGAUGCAGGUCGGCAGUAAGCCAAUAACGUCCGCACCCUGGUGCUGGGCCCGGGCUUAUCAGUUGGUCUCCCUUAAAAAAGCACACGGCAACCAUGCGCAGCUCACGUCGCCGUCGAUCACUCGAUGAUCUUGUCGGCCUAGCUCCAAUUGACAAAAAGUCGAGGCCAGACGACGGUCGUCGGUGUAGGAGCUGAGGCCUAAGGCCCUAAGGGAGAGCUAGAGGAGGAGGGCGAAGAGCUUCCCUUGCCCACAAGAUCCAAUCUGGCUCACCCGAUCUGACUCGACUCUCCCAGAAGGUAAACAAGCUCCUCAUGGUCAACCAUGUCUUCUUGACUUCUUGUUUGCUUGAUGCCAAAUCUGAUCUCUUUUUCAAAUUGUAAACACUAUUAGUUCUGCUUCAGUGUAUGUAUCAAAUUGUAAACACUAUUAGUUCUGCUUCAGUGUAUGUAUAGCUGUAAUUCUAGUGGAGAACUGAGCUUUAUUCUCAUUUUUUGAAAUGAACCGCACAAGAUACUGCGUGUUUCAUUGA